rnacentral:rRNA from 1 species
GUAGCGGAUCAGAGACCAUGGGGCGGGCUUUCCCUCGCACGUAGGCGACGUCGGUGUUUUCGGCCACCGGAAGUAACCUAGCGAGUAGUAAGGAUGCCUGCACGCACGGAGGAACGGAUGACGUUGAACAACACUUUGAAGAGGCCGAACUGAAGGACCGCGAGAUAGCGGCUAACAAGAGGCAACGAAUAGUGCGGACGGCGGCGCACUAUCCGAAAAAAGGAGAAGGUCGUGGCAGGCGUUGAAGUCUAGAACCAAAUCAAAAUGAAGACACUAAGACCUUUCCCCCGUCUCUAGUUCGCGCAGACUAGAAAGAACUUCGGUCAAGAAGAACGGAAACAAGACUUUUCCCCUGGCUCGAGCAAACACUAUAUCAUGAUGCAUUGACUAUAAAGAACUUCGCUAAAGACCUUUCUGUCCUCUAAGUGUCCAUGACGAUCGGCACGCAAUAACGAUUACCCAGCAGCUCGAUCACGACGUGCUUCACUUGAGCUCGUAUACGAUAGAGUACUUUUGCUAGCCGGUUUCCGGAACGGUAAUAGUGAAAACCUUCUGUAGUGUCUACCAAAGAGGCUCUUGGUAGUUUAACCGUCGCCACCCAAACGCCACCAAAUAUUCCCUUACGAACUCUUACCCUGGCAACGACACUUCUUCGACAGACUUUCCGAACUAUAAGGACUAUUAUUUCAACUACUUCUCUAAGUAACAAAUUACUACCACUUCGUGUUUUUAUAUCAUGCCAAAAACCCUAUAACACGAUUGUAUGUUCCUCUUUACCAUCCAGUGUUGCCUCUAAAAUAGUACCGUCUACACACUGUUUCCAACGAGACGAAACUCAUACAUGGAUUUCCUUCAGAACUACUCAUAUAGUUUCUACGUAGAACACCUGAACUGACCUAUUUCUCGAUAGUCUAUUAUUGCCCUUAUACACUCCCAAAUGUAAUGGAAGUAAACUUAGUAUAACAAGUGAAUCUAGACUUCGGGCGUUUAUAAAACGACCUACUGUUGUACUGUGGCUUUUAAUGGCUGAAACCAGACAGUUCCAUGAAAUUACUUUUAGUUUCAGCCCGAUAAUGGUUUUUAUACAGACCUUGCGACCCAAUAUACCGUGGUCUCAAGGUAUCGCCUCUGUAUAUGUGUUAGUGUAUGUUCAGUCUAUAAAUGUCAGAACCACAGCAUUAAUAUCUCUACGACUGUCCUUUUUUCACCAUAGGUCGUAUAGGACUACAACUACUACAUGAAGUUUCAACCUCCUUAUUCAACCCCUUUAGUGGGCUCCUGUGUGUUAACUUUGUCUAUGCCAAUACGUGGCUCGAUCCCUAUUACACGUAACUACCGUUGGUUCGUUUGUCUGGUCUAUGUAGUGUAUAUUAGUUAUCCGAACCACUUUGCCCUUUAUGUACAUAACAUCGACCACACUCAUCAAAUUAUUAUGGUGUCCAUCUUUCCUGAAACCUUUUAUACCUCCUACGGUGAUUGUUGAACGAAGACUUACUACCAUGACUCUUCUUACAAUAAGAACCCAACCCCCGCCGAUUUUUACGGACACGCCAGGUUCUUACAGAGUUACUAUGAGGAGUACAAUAAUGUCAGCUUAGACCAGGUAGUUACAGAUGUCUCCUUGAAUUGGAAGUUCUCCGGAACGCCAAGUAAUUCCUACUAGGACACCCUCACUAACCUUAUACCCCAGGUCCACCUCAUCCCUUUUGUGUGGAAAACUUUUUAUAGUUCUUGAGCGACCUACCUCUGCACUGGAAAUUGAUACAGCAUGUUCACUGUCGAAGUUCCCCCACAAGCCACCUUUUCUAGGUUUAAGUGUAACGUGCGGUUGAACUGGACUUGGUUCUACCAUUAUACCUUAGAGUUAGAGCACAGUAGAAACUGAAGGACUUCUUCUCUUUGAAAGAAUAUAACGACCUACUAGAGACCCUGGUUUAACUAGACGUUCGUCAACUGAACGGUAUGGGGGAACCUUCACACUUGGUUUAGUUCUCUUUUCACCACGAGUGUUGUUCUAGUUCUUUUUAAACACCAGUUUACCUCCACUCUUUUCUCAAAUUUCAUUGAACAGACGCCCUCCUACUCCGUACCGUCGAUAAGUUUCUAUUCCAGCCCUUGCUUUGAGAAAGAAUAUCAGGAGUGUAACCAUGAGAACGUUCUCUUGAACGCUUCCUUUACUUCCCGAACGGUAAUCGAAACUAUUGAUAACCUUCCCGUUACAUACGUUUUAAACUGUGUUAACUCACCCUUAUACGGUAGGUUGUAUACUUUGCCAGUACAACGCUAUUGCUACUGGGAGAUCUAUACCUUUCUCAACAAAAGUCGGUCCAGUUUAAAUCAAAACUAUCAAAUGCGUUGUUGUGAGACUCCUUUACAAAAAACUGAACACGUGAUACCGGUCUCCUAUUGUUAUAAAGGUUUCUUCUCGAGCGAGCUACAACCUAACCGAAUCCAGAUCACCUACUCGCUCUGUAUGUUUCAAGGAUGUGUUUUCGUAUAUCAGAGUACCCACUGGAAAGUCGUCGUACAAACAAUCUACCAACACCUUUUAACAUACUAAGACAAUUUUACGUACUACACCAAGCACUGUACCGAAAUACCUAGAGAACACCGACACCAUUUUUGUUACCGUUCACCAAACGGAUACCUCCUCAACGGGUUCUACUUUUUAAAUCAUAGGGAACCUCGGUUCAACUCACACAGAGUAACCACUUAUUGAUAAACAGUCUUGAAGGAGGACAACCAUGGUUAGGAGCAGUGUACGCCUACAAUACGGAAUCUUUAUUAGCCAACUUACUUUCAUACUAUCGAUUUCUUCAGUUCUUUAAGUGAAGUGACUGUAUAAACCUAAACUCGAAGUUGGUAGACUCCCUCUAUGGAUUUCUUAAUACAAGAAACCGUUUGGACCUUGUGGAACUAAACAGGGUAUUAAUAAUAUAUUUUCUUCACGGAGCAGUGAAACCUUUGGAGUAAUUCGAGUUCAAGAACAUGGAACUUCCCUGAUAGUAUGUUUCCAAUGGUCUCCCCCAGUAUAGAUCGGAAGUUCGUAACGUUCAUUAUCUGAAGUUUUAAGUUCAACCACUACUGGAAAAAGGUUCUUACGAAGUUCUCAACCCGUGGGAUAGGGUGAACUUUCGUCAACCGUAGAUACAGGAAAAAAAGGGAGUCAUACUUAAUAAAGAUUCUCUUUCGUCGUUCGAGCGGUAGUCCAUAAAUUUAGACGUGUAUGAGUGCUGCACAAGUGAACUGGGGAGACGAUAAGUACUGAAGUGUGCUCCUUGGAACGUACUUGACCUUUAACUUUACACGCUGUAAUUCCUUUAAUAUAAUCCCGUGUUCAACCGUCCUGGUUGGACAACAAAACCAUGAGAGUCAGCCGAGUAAAACUGUCGAAACAGUCUGAACUCUCUCUAUUGAACCUACCCUUGUAGAGGUCGUAGAGAAAAAGGUUCCGAACGGAUGAACUACCACCCCCCGACGCCCUUCGAUUUACUGGAGAGAACCCGCUAGAUAGACGGAACGGAGCUUGUUGAGUAUUAUCAACGGACACUAAACUACGUCGUUCGUAAAUGAUCCGUGGAACCACUACUGUUCAAGUCGCUUGUUCUGUUACACUUCUGCAAAGGGACGGAGUUUAUAGACUUGUAAAGCUUCACGUCUAGCGACCAGUCAUAACCUCUAGGGUUACACUGUAAAGGUAGGGAUCUCGCUGACCUCGAACCUAUAAGAGCUCUUAACUUCUCAGAAGGAAAGUUCUACCUGUCGAACGGUGCUUCUAACGUCGAUGACCUCUAACUACAAUUUAGGACCCUCUCUAACCUGGAGCUACCACAGUUUAGAAAGGACGUUGGGUCUGAAUUUAACAUGAUCUUAUUUAUGGUACUCACUAGGCAGGUAAGGUAGGACAUGCGAAGAAAGAUCGUACUUAUGGUACUGCCUAUCCGUUGACAUAACAACAUUUAGCAGGUCCUCACAAUAGUCGUUCCUACGAAGGAAGUCGAGGGCUCAACAUAAUAAGUACGAAGGUAAAUGUGGAACCGGACAAGGGACCAACCGUCCUCAUAUUAACAAUGGCUGAACAAGCCUCCACAUUUAGUUCGAUGCCAUUAUGCUCAUGUAAAAAAUACCAUUAAAUAUAGUGAAGAUUCCUAUUGUUUAAAUUAAUGGUAACAGCGUUUUUUUUUUAAUCAAUCG